rnacentral:lncRNA from 1 species
AAAUCAGCUCCGAGAAGGGGAACAAACGGAGGGGGCGCGCUCGGCUCCAGGUCGGGGGCGCGCAUUUGGGAAGCCCUGACUACACUUUUUUUUUUUCCUUGCCUUUUUUUUUUUUUUUUUUCUUUAUCCUUUUUUUUUUUUUUCCCCUCCUUUUUUUUUUUUUUUUUUUUUAAGAGGGAAGGAGGGGGCUGGUUGGCAGAGAGGAAGGGAAGUGGGAAACGGGCAGAUGGGGGAGGAAAAAAACCUGAGAAGAAUCAGAGAGAGGGAAAAAAGCCGCCGAGGUGGGGCAGAAUUUGCACUCACCCCGCACUCCCCUUUCCAAAAAAAAAAAAAAAAAAAAAAAAGAGGGAAAAAAACGGAACAAAAAGCCCAAGUCUGGAGGAAAUCAAAGCUGCUCUGCCUGCGAGUGCCAGCCGAGGGCUGCGGCGGGGAGCAGCCCGGGGUCCCGCUCCGGCAUCCAGCGCUGCUCCGCUCCGCUGCGCGCCCGUCCCGAGCCCCGCCGGGAUCCCGCAGCUUCCCGCGGAGCCCAACACCUCGGGGACACUCCCGCACCUCCCGCAUCCUCCCGCCGUGUGCGCGGAGGCGGAGGGGCCGCGUUGCCCGCCCGCCCCGGGAGCCGCCGCAGCUCUCGUCAGGUGUUUUACUGCCCCUCGCUCAUCCAGAACAAACGUCGAGAAUUUCUGCUCAGGGUGCGCUUCAGAAUUCACCCCGAGCUCCCCAAAAAGAUCAUUAGCAGCACGGCAAAGCUCCUUGCAAGAUUUCUACCCAGCUGACACAACAAUUUGCAGAGACUUCUCCUUCCCCACCCCACAAACCUGCUUUUUAUUCUUAUCCCUCAUCAUAAAGAAAGCUCAUUUCCAAAUUAAAACACCUAAAUCCCAGAGGAGCCUCUCAAUCCCCUGCACAGUUUUAAUGGAAAUAUUAGAAAAUAAGGGGAAAAUGAACUUUUUUUUUUUCUGGUUGAAAACAUGCACAGAUGUUCUUUACCCAAUAUAUGGAUUAGAUAAUGCAGUUGACAGUUGACAGAUUUUUUUAUCAAAUUUUUAAAAGCAUUUAAUGCUGAAGAAAAAAUGUAGUUUUUCCAAUCAAUGUUAAAAUCUUCAGCGAGGAUAAAAUCAUACACAAAGUGGGGUUUGUGUGCUUUGAUUUGUGCAAUAAUCCAAUAAAGGCUCAAAAUUAGCACUGAAAACGAAGGGAAAUCAACCAAUUCUGAUGUAUUGGGGAAAUUAUAAAACACAACUCACUGUGGGCAUUAUAAUUGAGUGUAUGGAGCUGAUGAGUAGCUGAACUCAUCUGCCAUAAGUUUUUUAUUUCAAACUAAUCCAUAAACUGCCUUUUCAAUUCUCUAAAAGAACAUAAAAUACCAACAAUUCUUUUAGCGUGUCCCCAUCAAUCCAAUCAAAAAAAUCAUGAGCUGCAAAUGACAGCCCAUAGCUGUAAUAUAAAAAUAUCCUGGUUAUCAAUCUAAAACUGGUUUUGCAGUGAUGUUGGCCAGGAUAUUUUGCCUCAUGACUUCAUGGUUCUCAUUCUGUUGUUUAUUGUCCUGUCAUCUUAUAUUUAUAUCAUUUGGCCUCCAUCUUCCAUAGCAAUUAAAAAUGGCAUUUCUUUAACCGUGGUUUUGCUGGUUUUCCUGGUGCUUUCCACAAAUGCCCAUCCCUGGAUUGGAAUGGAUUGUCACCACCAGCUUCUAAAGACCUUUUCCAUCAAAGAAAUAAUUAAAUACUUGAUUUAUUCCACUCAUUGUUGCAAUUAUUUUUGCCAUGAUGGGGGAUGUGGCUCUUUGGCACACACAGUCACCACCUCAGCAGAGAGAUCCUGGAAAUGCCCCAUUUCUGAGCCUGGAUUCCUUUUCUCACUGGACAUGGUAAAUCCUGGAAUUGCUGCAGCUUGGAAACUGUCCCAGAAAGGGCACACAAGGGACACUGGGAAUUACACAUUGGACUCCAGCUCUCUACAUUGAGUGACAAAAUCUUGGAUAUGGGAAGAAAAGAGGGGCUCAGCCAAUAUUAUCUGGUAAUGUGAAGAUAACCACAGCUAAAAAGGGCUUCAUGUGUCCAGAAAAAGAGCUGUUAGACUGGAUUAUGCUGGUCUGGGACAGGAAGGAUUAGUGGAGAGGAGGCCUGACAGUGAAUUCAUUAUGAUCUGCAGCAGAUAUUACAAAAUGCUGCUUUGCUGGUUGCAUUCGUCCAAAGAUCUUCCCCAAGAACUGUGUAUUAGGGGUAAUUUGGAGCUCAGUUUUCAGGAUCGGUUUUGGAGAUUUUUGGGGGCCCAAAGCUGGAGUUCUGAAGCCCACGGACAGCUUAUAACGAGUUCAGCACAUGCUGUGUGAGGGUCACCAGUGGCUUUACCUCUCUCAGAGCUGGAGCCUCUAAAAGUUAUUUCACUGCCAAAGCAUUUCCAUCCACCAACAUUCCCACAGGGAGGGACUUUCUUCUUUCUCCAGGAAAAGGUUCUUCCCCAGAGGGUGCUGGCAUUGCCAAGGCUCCCCAGGGAAUGGGCACAACCCCGAGGCUGCCAGAGCUCCAGGAGGGUUUGGAGAACAUUCCCAGGGUGGGAUUGCUGGGGUGUCUGUGCAGGGCCAGGAGCUGCACUGGAUGAUCCUUGUGGAGCCUUUCCAACUCAGGAUAUUCAUUAAUUCCAUGAUAUUUGAAUGGAAGAGCUGGGAGGCACAGAGAGAUUAAUCUGCACGACCUGCAGGUGUGCCACAGAGAUGCUCUUUCCCUUUCUCAUAUUCUUUGCCUUGCUUAAACAUUGGCCCAGCUCUGUCCCCCAGGCUGGAGGUCUGAAAUGAAAUGGCAAUCUGCUCCUCUCCUGGCUAAUUGGAGCUGGAGCAGAGACAUUUCACAGGAGAAUAAUGAUGAGCUGCUGUCCCUGCAUCCCUCUUUGUCUCCAUUUUUAUUUUUGUAGUGUCUCAUCUGCUCUGCUGAGCUGCCAGUCACCUCCUGGGGACACUGUCCCUCACUGAGAGCUCCUGGGGCUCUCUGACUACCCCUCAGCUGCUUUCAGCUCCCGAGGCUGGGACAUUCCAGCUGGGAGCUGGACCUGUGGACACCAGAAAGCACUUUCCAGUUCUGGAUCUCCUCAUUUCCCCCUGGCAGCUGGAGAAGCUCCCUGCUAACGAGGGAGCUCCAUUCUCUGAUCCUCCCCUUGCUUGGCUCUGGUGGCUGAAUUGCCUCUGGCUCACCUCAAUCAGCUCCAUUUAUUCCAGGGUUUUGAGUAGCUGCAUAUGAAAGCCUCGCUGAUGGAGAUAUCACAUGGCUUUGCUUUGCCUACAGACAAUGAUUUCAUCUUAAUAAAGUCAGAUUUUGCCUCUGCCUGCUGCGCUGUCGAGUGAGCUCUCCUACAAGCCCCACAAUGCAGCAGCUUUGUGAGGAAAAAAAGCACAGGACAGAAUAAUUUAUUUUUUUCUCUCAAUAAUCCUGAAAAUGAGCCAUGACUGACAAGAGGGAGCAAGGAGGAUUUGAAGCACUUGAAUUUCUUUUUCCAGUGUAUUUGAUAUUGCAACUGUGGAUGCCACUGUCACUGCAGGAAGAGUUAUGAGACC